UGGGGAAUCUUAGACAAUGGGGGAAACCCCUGAUCUAGCCAUGCCGCGUGAGCGAUGAAGGCCUUAGGGUUGUAAAGCUCUUUCAGCUGGGAAGAUAAUGACGGUACCAGCAGAAGAAGCCCCGGCUAACUCCGUGCCAGCAGCCGCGGUAAUCGGAGGGGGCUAGCGUUGUUCGGAAUUACUGGGCGUAAAGCGCACGUAGGCGGAUUAGUCAGUCAGAGGUGAAAUCCCAGGGCUCAACCCUGGAACUGCCUUUGAUACUGCUAGUCUUGAGGUCGAGAGAGGGUGAGUGGAAUUCCCGAGUGUAGAGGUGAAAUUCGUAGAUAUUCGGAGGGAACACCAGUGGCGAAGGCGGCUCACUGGCUCGAUACUGACGCUGAGGUGCGAAAGCGUGGGGGAGCAAAACAGGAUUAGAUACCCCUGGUAGUCCACGCCGUAAACGAGAAUGCCAGUCGUCGGGUUGCAUGCAAUUCGGUGACACACCUAACGGAUUAAGCAUUCCGCCUGGGGAGUACGGUCGCAAGAUUAAACUCAAAGGAAUUGACGGGGUCAUAGCUGUUUCCUG
rnacentral:rRNA from 1 species